GACGAACGCUGGCGGCGUGCUUAACACAUGCAAGUCGAACGGAAAGGCCCUGCUUUUGUGGGGUGCUCGAGUGGCGAACGGGUGAGUAACACGUGAGUAACCUGCCCUUGACUUUGGGAUAACUUCAGGAAACUGGGGCUAAUACCGGAUAGGAGCUCCUGCUGCAUGGUGGGGGUUGGAAAGUUUCGGCGGUUGGGGAUGGACUCGCGGCUUAUCAGCUUGUUGGUGGGGUAGUGGCUUACCAAGGCUUUGACGGGUAGCCGGCCUGAGAGGGUGACCGGCCACAUUGGGAAUGAGAUACGGCCCAGACUCAUACGGGAGGCAGCAGUGGGGAAUAUUGCACAAUGGGCGGAAGCCUGAUGCAGCAACGCCGCGUGCGGGAUGACGGCAUUCGGGUUGUAAACCGCUUUCGCCUGUGACGAAGCGUGAGUGACGGUAAUGGGUAAAGAGGCACCGGAUAACUACG
rnacentral:rRNA from 1 species